AUUAUAAGAGAGUGAGUUACAGUGAUAUUAU
rnacentral:guide_RNA from 1 species